ensembl:lncRNA
GUCAUCUUGCAUCUCAACAUCAUAGUUAGUAAAAUAAUUCUCCUUCUUAGAUUGUUGCCACCGCUUCGUUUUUCUCGGGAAGUGAAGGGGGAGGGGGGCCCACAAGCCUACCGGCCCCCUGUCACGGGCACAGAUCUAUCUAGGUAACUCCGUGACAGAGUUAAUCGUUCCUUAUGUCCACAGUGUGAUACAAUUGUGCAAUACAGUCUGUAGGGCAUCUUAAUGCUGACCUUAAAAAGGGAAGAAUAGGCAACUUAUUUUACUGAUUUUUUUUAAACACUCUAGUCAGUGAAUUCCUACUUUAGCUAUUUAAUUUACAGUUAACUACUAGAAUUAUUUUUUCUAUCUGUAGUAAGCCCAGCAGCUCAUAUACUAAAGGUGACAAGGUAGACCCAAAUAAGCCUGUUUGUAGAGCUAAUGUUUUUCCCUUUCUGUACGUUUUAUAAGAUUAACCAGCCGUUGCUGUACAGAAGCAUGGCAAUGAAUACUAAACAGUCCGUCCAUAAGGCAUUUUGGAAGGAAUUCAGUAAAUUCAAAGAAGAUAUCCCAACACUGUAUCCCGUAAUUUUAUUUUUUUUUCCACUGAGUGUAGUUAAUACUAUUGAAUGCAACUGACUAUAUCCAAAAAGAAGUUGAAAUAUUUACAUGGCUGCUUCCUCUGCCUCGUCAAUUCAAAAUAUUUACUGCAGAUACUCUGUUUAGUGACUGAUUAAAUGAGUUAUUUGAGCAUGUAUUCCAAAUCUUAAGUGUAGACUUUUUCCACUUGACUUUGAAAAUAUAUAAUUCCAUAGUUUGCAACUGGACUUCUGAUAUUUUCUAAAUGCAUUUCUGUCCUGUUAAAUACUGAGUGCUGAGUUCCGUCAUCCUGAAUCAAGCAUGCCUUUAUCUAGCUAGACUUACAGCUUUUCAUGAGACAGCUUAGGGGAUGUGGUACUACUUGACUCAAGUACUUGGCUUCAUAGUGCAAGUAAAUGUCUCAAAUGAGUAACAUAAUAAGAAAAAAUAUCAAAAGGCAGUGGUUGAAUUCAUUUUCAGAGUAUACCUUUAUACUUCAGGUACGAUUAUAAACUACUGUGUUAAGCUUUUGGGGUUUGUUUUGUUCCGGUGGUAUUUUUUGUUUGUUUGUUUGUUUUUCCAGAGCUGUGAUAUUUAGUGCAGUUCCAGUUCCUAUGGGAAUUUUCUUUGUAGACAAGAGACUUCUUAACAAGAAAAGUUAUGUUACAAAGAAAAACUUUGAAGAAAAUAGUGCAAAUUAAUAUAAUUUUUGGACCUUCAAAAAUAAGAUGUUUACAUGCUGCACAUAAUUGACCUAAGUAAAAUUUAUAUAAUUACAGAGAAAAUAAUAUAAAAACCUUUUUAGUAAAUAACUUGAAUAUCUUCAGUUGUACGUCACAAAGAGCAUUUCUACAUUGAGCAUAAUCCUUGUAUUCAGCUUUUGAUGUGACUUAUGCAUGCCUAAGGAGGGAAGUUUAAUGUGUAGGAUGAUUCUUUUAGAAUGAAAGGUGAUGUACCAUUGAUUGUUCUAAUAUUUUAAUCUUAAGAUGAUAGUACAGUUCAGCAACACAGCACUGCUGCUUAGUGCACCAGUAUAUGCAGACUGAUCAAGUGCCUAUUUUACAGAUAUUAACAAAUAUACUAGACUGUAGGGUAGUGUAGAACAAGGUUCCUGGUAUAGGCCUGCUUUAAGAGAGGAUAGUAUGAAAAAGUACACUCGUAACAAGACCGGAUAUUGGUAGCAGAAUUCUGUUAUCUUAAACUCAUAGAUAUGUGGUUUCCAAGUGAAACUCUCCCGAGAACUGGCAGUUUCCAGGCUGCUCUAUAGAUUUCCUGUUUAUUUUAUAUGAUGCUGGAAAUAUCAUCUGAUGAUAUAGUACUCUUUUCCUAAGGCAGUUAUUUUUCUUUUUUUUUUAAUAGGAUGUUAUCUAAAGCCCAUUCUGUUAAAGUAGAAAGGUUUAAAAUAGCUGUAAGUAUUCUGAUUAUACCGCAGCUUUUAACACAGUAUUUUUUUUUUUGUCUUCUAAGAUUUUAAAGAACUUUGAAUAUAUCCUCUGUGUGUGUGAUCUGACCUGAUGCAUUCCUUCUCCAGCCUUUUUAAGUAUUUUCAUUUGUCUUAUUUACUGAAGGAUAGGAUAAUUUUAUUUGACCUGUUGGUAGGGUAUCUAUUAAAAAAACAAACAGAUGAAAAAAGCAACUGGAAUGGAACUACAGAAAAAUACAUUCACACUCAACUUUGAAUCUUAGUUUCUGAUCACAUCCCAGACAAUUUUUAAGCACUUCUAUGGUUUAUUCUUAAGUACUUCCUAUUAGGAUGUGAACUGUUUUACUAAAUUUUUUAAUUCACAGAAACUGGCUAGCCUCACUUGUUUUAAUCAGUAACCUAAUUCUGGCAUUAGAUUUAAAGAUGAUAUUCUCAUUAAUCCUCCCUUUAAAUAAAAUAAUGUUUAUAUAGAUGAGAAUGCUGUAGAAUUCCUGUGAAAG